UACGUAGGGGGCAAGCGUUGUCCGGAUUUAUUGGGCGUAAAGAGCGUGUAGGCGGCCAAGCAGGUCCGCUGUGAAAACUCGAGGCUCAACCUCGAGACGUCGGUGGAAACCGUUUGGCUAGAGUCCGGAAGAGGAGAGUGGAAUUCCCGGUGUAGCGGUGAAAUGCGCAGAUAUCGGGAAGAACACCCGUGGCGAAGGCGGCUCUCUGGAACGGUACUGACGCUGAGACGCGAAAGCGUGGGGAGCGAACAGG
rnacentral:rRNA from 1 species